UACGUAGGGGGCAAGCGUUGUCCGGAAUCAUUGGGCGUAAAGCGCGUGUAGGCGGCUUGGUAAGUCCGGUGUGAAACCUUGGGGCUCAACCCCAAGCCUGCAUCGGAAACUGCCUCGCUCGAGUCCGGGAGGGGAGAGCGGAAUUCCUAGUGUAGCGGUGAAAUUCGUAGAUAUUCGCAAGAACACCAGUGGCGAAGGCGGCUCACUGGCCCGUAACUGACGCUGAGGCACGAAAGCGUGGGGAGCAAACAGG
rnacentral:rRNA from 1 species